AGAGUGGCACGGUGUCUGUCCGCAAGUGGUGGUGUGUGCAGCUAAUGGAGAGGUUCUCCAUCGAAGGGCCUGGUCAGCGAUUUGCCUUCUGGACCCAGGAGGCUAAAGAACUGCUCCAUGGUGGACUUGAGCCUCUUCUUCGGCUGAAGGGCCUGGAACAAUCCACUUUUGGUUUUCCCUGCACUUGAAUAACACCAGAUCAGUCGACAAGCGUGCAGGAUCUCUCCCUGGCUGUGCAGUGGAGAGAUGAAAACCCAGGUGUCUUCAAGAGUCAGUGGAGGGAGGGUGCCCGCAUUCCAUGGUAUGACAGAGCAGGAGCAGGAGGAGGCUGUGAGGCGUCUGCUGGAGGACAAUGGAGAUGGCACUGAUGCCAGGGAGCCUUUCAUGUUCGUUUGUGACCACAUGGAAACCUUUAUGAAUGAAUGAAUGUCGUGAUCAGAGAGACCUGAGAGUGAAUGUGUUGCAGAUAAUGGUGAGUAGAUGAAGGUCUGUUUUGUCUGGUGAACUGUUCGGCCAUUUGUUAAUAAUGGUGUGUUUUCAUGUUUUGUAUAUAAAAUAAGUUUAGUCAUUUAUAAAGAAUG